rnacentral:rRNA from 1 species
GAUGAACGCUGGCGGCGUGCCUAACACAUGCAAGUCGAGCGGCAGCGAGGGGUGCUUGCACCCUGUCGGCGAGCGGCGGACGGCUGAGUAACGCGUGGGAACGUGCCCCAAAGUGAGGAAUAACUGCCCGAAAGGGUAGCUAAUACCGCAUAUUAUCUUCGGAUCAAAGGAUUUAUCCGCUUUGGGAGCGGCUCGCGUCGGAUUAGGUAGUUGGUGAGGUAAUGGCUCACCAAGCCGACGAUCCGUAGCUGGUCUGAGAGGAUGACCAGCCAGACUGGAACUGAGACACGGUCCAGACUCCUACGGGAGGCAGCAGUGAGGAAUCUUCCACAAUGGGCGAAAGCCUGAUGGAGCAACGCCGCGUGCAGGACGAAGGCCUUCGGGUUGUAAACUGCUUUUAUAAGUGAGGAAUAUGACGGUAACUUAUGAAUAAGGAUCGGCUAACUACGU